CCUGAAAACAACAGUGAUGCUGCUAAAUUCAGAGCCCUUGUGUUUUGCCUCUUCUCUUCUUACAUUCCCCCGUCUCUUGUAUUGGUCCCCUUUUUCUUUGCGCCUCCUUUUAGUUCACCUCUGAUCACGGUUGUUUCACUGCCUCCCACCCUCUCUCUCGCUAUCUGUUACAGAGCUGUUGUUGUUGUUGCCUGUGUCGUAUUUGCUCUAGGGCUGUUUUGGGGUGCUGUGUGAAUGCAAAUUGCUUUGAUUAUUGUCUCUGGUCCCCCACUCAUUCACUGUCCCCAUUAUUAGGCUUCUCCCGUGUGUUUGCAUCACAUAAUUCACACUGCAUUAUCAGAUGUUUGUCCAGGUCCUCCAAGCUUUCAUUCAAUGCCUAUUUUGAGAUCACCCCUGCAAAGACCGGACGGCUCUAUAGGGAAAUGGAUCUACGAAGGAGUUUAAAAUCCUGUCCAAGACAGCCUGUGUCAUUGGGAGAAACGUAUGGAAAACAGUUGUCUUAUGGCUGCCAGGAGGCUGCUGGCGAGAAAACGGAACGCUCUGCUGACACCAGGAUCAGUAGAGCUUGGCAACAGGCAAGGCGUAUUUGGGGGACUGUGAUGGUAAUUCCAUGGAUAAACACCCUUAAAGGAGUAAGUACAGAGACAAAAUUAUUUUUGCACAAUAGAGAGUACACAGGUUAUCAAGUAACAGGGAAUAGUCUCUAAAACAUUUGGAAGUAGAUUCAAUACUUAUGGAGGAAUGGGUGGAGAUAAGAAUCUGCAUGGUCGUACCAUAAAAACAACACAUCUUCCUUAUCUGUCCUAACCCCUGUUGUGUAUCUUCCUCUAUCCUGUCCUGAAACCAAUUGUUCUGCAUCAACCCCCGUCCUGCUGAAGAUUUACCUCGACACCUCAUACUUCCUUUACCACAGCACAACCGACACUCCUUUUCUUAUCUAAACAUGGGGACUCAAUACUUUAAUCAAUAGGAAUACAUCAGUUUAAGACAUUUCCAUAACAGGGUAUUUUCAUCUUUUAGCAAAAACCCUUUUUAAGAAUUGUCUUUUUCGUGGGGGAAGUGGCUGUGAAAUCACCGGAGAUCUGGACACUUUUUAAAAGAACGAUUGCUUUCGUGUUACAAUCUGUUUUUGGGCAUAAUUAUGUUCCAGCCCCCUGACCAGCAGCACCCACAACAAUCUGCCCAAGGGUGAAUAGUUGUCCAUCCCUUCCUUAGAGCAUUUCAUGUUUCCUGAUGGUACUAAUGUAUCUUCUAAACACACGGUCAAUAAAACAACACAUACCAGUAUCCAUGGCUGCCUAUUUUGUGUGCUAGUGUUUUGGUAUGCUUACUUGUUGUGGGCAACAGGCACCACCAGUAAUCUACCACAAACAGCCUUGUCUGCUGAUGUAUAUAUUAGAAAUCAAUUGUGCGCAGGCAAGCCACUGACCGCCUCUGUAAUAUCUCUGUUACAGCGACUCCCUGGAAAGGCCAUGCCUGAUUAGCAUGCAUACGUGAGUCAUUAUCGUUUUAUCUGAACAUGUUUGAAGAAUGACCCUAUUUAUCAUGUCACCUACUACUGGAGGGUUAUUCUGAUAACUUUGCGGAUACAACAUUGGUUCAAAGUUAUAUAUUAUAUAUCUACAUACGUAUAUAUAUAUCAGC